CCUACGGGUGGCUGCAGUGGGGAAUUUUGGACAAUGGGCGCAAGCCUGAUCCAGCAAUGCCGCGUGAGUGAAGAAGGCCCUUGGGUUGUAAAGCUCUUUCGGUCGGGAAGAAGGAAGGAUGGCUAAUACCCAUUCUGACAGACGGUACCGGCAUAAGAAGCACCGGCUAACUACGUGCCAGCAGCCGCGGUAAUACGUAGGGUGCAAGCGUUAAUCGGAAUGACUGGGCGUAAAGGGUGUGUAGGCGGUUUAUUAAGUCUGAUGUGAAAGCCCCG
rnacentral:rRNA from 1 species